CAAGUACUCCCUCCGUCUGGAAUUACUUGUCAUCAAAAUGGAUGUGUCUAGAACUAAAAUACAUCUAGAUACAUCCAUUUCAAUGACAAGUAUUUACGGACGGAGGGAGUACAAG
rnacentral:pre_miRNA from 1 species